rnacentral:rRNA from 1 species
CCGCGGUAAUACAGGAGGGUGCAAGCAAUAAUCGGAAUUAACUGGGCGUAAAGCGCACGCAGGCGGUCUGUUAAGUCAGAUGUGAAAUCCCCGGGCUUAACCUGGGAACUGCAUUUGAAACUGRGCAGGCUUGAGUACUUGUAGAGGGGGGUAGAAUUCCAGGUAUAGCGGUGAAAUGCGUAGAGAUCUGGAGGAAUACCGGUGGCGAAGGCGGCCCCCUGGACAAAGACUGACGCUCAGAGUGCGAAAGCGUGGGGAGCAAACAGGAUUAGAUACCCUGAUAAUCCACGCCAUAAACGA